GAGGAGGUGAUUACAGUGCGUGUUCAGGA
rnacentral:piRNA from 1 species